rnacentral:rRNA from 1 species
GACGAACGCUGGCGGCGUGCUUAACACAUGCAAGUCGAACGGAAAGGCCCUGCUUUUGUGGGGUGCUCGAGUGGCGAACGGGUGAGUAACACGUGAGUAACCUGCCCUUGACUUUGGGAUAACUUCAGGGAACUGGGGCUAAUACCGGAUAGGAGCUCCUGCUGCAUGGUGGGGGUUGGAAAGUUUCGGCGGUUGGGGAUGGACUCGCGGCUUAUCAGCUUGUUGGUGGGGUAGUGGCUUACCAAGGCUUUGACGGGUAGCCGGCCUGAGAGGGUGACCGGCCACAUUGGGACUGAGAUACGGCCCAGACUCCUACGGGAGGCAGCAGUGGGGAAUAUUGCACAAUGGGCGGAAGCCUGAUGCAGCAACGCCGCGUGCGGGAUGACGGCCUUCGGGUUGUAAACCGCUUUCGCCUGUGACGAAGCGUGAGUGACGGUAAUGGGUAAAGAAGCACCGGCUAACUACGUGCCAGCAGCCGCGGUGAUACGUAGGGUGCGAGCGUUGUCCGGAUUUAUUGGGCGUAAAGGGCUCGUAGGUGGUUGAUCGCGUCGGAAGUGUAAUCUUGGGGCUUAACCCUGAGCGUGCUUUCGAUACGGGUUGACUUGAGGAAGGUAGGGGAGAAUGGAAUUCCUGGUGGAGCGGUGGAAUGCGCAGAUAUCAGGAGGAACACCAGUGGCGAAGGCGGCUCUCUGGGCCUUUCCUGACGCUGAGGAGCGAAAGCGUGGGGAGCGAACAGGCUUAGAUACCCUGGUAGUCCACGCUGUAAACGGUGGGUACUAGGUGUGGGGUCCAUUCCACGGGUUCCGUGCCGUAGCUAACGCUUUAAGUACCCCGCCUGGGGAGUACGGCCGCAAGGCUAAAACUCAAAGGAAUUGACGGGGCCCCGCACAAGCGGCGGAGCAUGCGGAUUAAUUCGAUGCAACGCGUAGAACCUUACCUGGGUUUGACAUGGAUCGGGAGCGCUCAGAGAUGGGUGUGCCUCUUUUGGGGUCGGUUCACAGGUGGUGCAUGGCUGUCGUCAGCUCGUGUCGUGAGAUGUUGGGUUAAGUCCCGCAACGAGCGCAACCCUUGUUCACUGUUGCCAGCACGUUAUGGUGGGGACUCAGUGGAGACCGCCGGGGUCAACUCGGAGGAAGGUGGGGAUGACGUCAAGUCAUCAUGCCCCUUAUGUCCAGGGCUUCACGCAUGCUACAAUGGCUGGUACAGAGAGUGGCGAGCCUGUGAGGGUGAGCGAAUCUCGGAAAGCCGGUCUCAGUUCGGAUUGGGGUCUGCAACUCGACCUCAUGAAGUCGGAGUCGCUAGUAAUCGCAGAUCAGCAACGCUGCGGUGAAUACGUUCCCGGG